rnacentral:rRNA from 1 species
UGGGGAAUAUUGCACAAUGGGCGAAAGCCUGACGCAGCGACGCCGCGUGAGGGAUGAAGGUUUUCGGAUCGUAAACCUCUGUCAGAAGGGAAGAAACCGCACUGUGCUAAUCAGCGGUGCCUUGACGGUACCUUCAAAGGAAGCACCGGCUAACUCCGUGCCAGCAGCCGCGGUAAUACGGAGGGUGCAAGCGUUAAUCGGAAUUACUGGGCGUAAAGCGCACGUAGGCUGCUUUGUAAGUCAGGGGUGAAAUCCCACGGCUCAACCGUGGAACUGCCUUUGAUACUGCUUAGCUUGAAUCCGGGAGAGGGUGGCGGAAUUCCAGGUGUAGGAGUGAAAUCCGUAGAUAUCUGGAGGAACAUCAGUGGCGAAGGCGGCCACCUGGACCGGUAUUGACGCUGAGGUGCGAAAGCGUGGGGAGCAAACAGG